rnacentral:rRNA from 1 species
GAUGAACGCUGGCGGCGUGCCUAAUACAUGCCAGUCGAGCGAACAGACGAGGAGCUUGCUCCUCUGACGUUAGCGGCGACGGGUGAGUAACACGUGGAUAACCUACCUAUAAGACUGGGAUAACUUCGGGAAACCGGAGCUAAUACCGGAUAAUAUAUUGAACCGCAUGGUUCAAUAGUGAAAGACGGUUUUGCUGUCACUUAUAGAUGGAUCCGCGCCGCAUUAGCUAGUUGGUAAGGUAACGGCUUACCAAGGCAACGAUGCGUAGCCGACCUGAGAGGGUGAUCGGCCACACUGGAACUGAGACACGGUCCAGACUCCUACGGGAGGCAGCAGUAGGGAAUCUUCCGCAAUGGGCGAAAGCCUGACGGAGCAACGCCGCGUGAGUGAUGAAGGUCUUCGGAUCGUAAAACUCUGUUAUUAGGGAAGAACAAAUGUGUAAGUAACUAUGCACGUCUUGACGGUACCUAAUCAGAAAGCCACGGCUAACUACGUG